UGGGUAUCAGCCUUGCAGCUCGGGACAAAUUAAAAUGCACACUUAAGUCUGUUACUAAAGACUCAACUAUACCUUACUCUAACAGUUCACAGAGUUCACCUGACUGCAUAACUAAAAAGCCUGAUGCAUGUCUUCAGGCAAUAACCUUGAUUUAAACACUAGAACAGUCUUCCUUUCUCAGCAGUGAUCAUGGGCUAUAAUUGAACUAAGGGGCGUGCAUCACCAAUAUUGUCUGUUAAAAACACUCAGUAGCACAUUUAAGUUAAAUGCCCACAGAUGGUACAGACCCUUUCAACAUGAGGAGGUUUGAUUACGUUAGAGGAUCCUGAAAAAGCUUUAGGAUAUAGCUCAAACAUGUUGUUUUUCACACCUGGAUAAUUACUCUUGUGACCAGCCAGACCUGUCUAUAGCUGUGCCUUCUCCCCAGAGCGUCAAAGUUGUGUCAUUCUCUUGGUUAUGGCUUGCCUUUAUCUUUAUGUAAUGACUGACAUGUUAUAAGCUAAAGAAAUUAUGUUCAUUAGUGCUUAAAAAGCUGGACUCUUUAGUGUUACACAAAGCACUUACACAAAAAUUGUAUAAGUAAAAAAAAACAUGCAACGACAUGUGAAGUAAACUGGAAGAAAAUGCCCCUCCCUCCUCCUAAUACUAUACCUAUAUAUUCACUCCUCCAGUGAGACUGCCAUUAAGACUGUCACUAUCUCCUUUCACACUUUCAGUUGUUACUUUUAAGAAUGGGAAAGGUUCAUGUUAGAGACAACGCUGCAAAAGAAAAGAAAACCGAGUUUAGGUUAGUACGAGUCAAAGACACCUGGAAGCGGAAGCUGGGGAAGAAGGUCAAUAAAAACAAAGUGGACUGUGUCUCUGCUGCAAAAAUCUUUGAAACUUCCACCGUGAAGGACACCACGUGGACAGUGAUCAGCCCCAUUACCUUCACUUACAAGGUAACUGAGACUCGAGGCUUGCUGGACCCGAACAGCGACACCCUGCUGCUGGGGCACAUCACCGACCCACAGCAUCUGGAGGAAAUCAAAGCGUUGAACAAGCCACUCAAGCGCUUCGUGGUCGUUGACCAAGAAGUCUACAAAAUCUAUGGGGCCAAGAUAACAGAGUACCUAGAGUUCCACAAUGUCCUGUACAAGAUCCUGGCUCUGCCCACGACUGAGGAGAACAAGUCGAUGGAAGUGGCCUUGACUAUCCUUGAAGAAGUGAACAACUUCUGCCUCGACCGCCGCACGGAGCCCAUCAUUGCCAUUGGUGGAGGGGUCUGUCUGGACAUCGUGGGCCUGGCUGCCUCUCUCUACAGGAGACGCACCCCUUACAUCAGAGUCCCCACAACGCUGUUGUCCUACAUCGACGCGAGCGUGGGCGCAAAGACGGGGGUCAACUUUGCAAACUGCAAGAAUAAGCUGGGCACCUACAUUCCACCCACCGCUGCUUUCCUCGACCUGUCCUUCAUACAAACUCUUCCCCGACGCCACAUCUGCAAUGGUGUGGCUGAGAUGCUGAAGAUGGCCUUGAUGAAACACAGAGGCCUCUUUGAGCUCCUUGACAAACAUGGCAGAAUGCUCUUGGAAACUAAAUUCCAGGAUGCUGGAAGUAUUUAUGGGCAAAGCAGUUUCCAGGCUGCGUCACGAGCAACUCGCAUAGCCAUCACAACCAUGCUGGAGGAGCUUGCCCCUAACCUCUGGGAAGACGACCUAAACAGGCUUGUGGACUUCGGCCACCUUAUUAGUCCAGCGUUAGAGAUGGUACAAACUUACUCAAGUUUGUAUUUAGUUGUUUAUAUGAUAAAUACCUUAUUACAAUAAUAAUACAUUUAAUGCAUUGUAAGUCUGCCACAGUACUGAGAUACAGUAAAACUGGUAACACUGUUUUGGUUCUUCUCACUUUUCUUUGCCAUACAGAAAGUCCUGCCAUCACUGCUGCACGGUGAGGCAGUGAACAUCGACAUGUCGUACAUGGUUUAUGUAGCUCAGGAGUGCGGCCUGUUGUCAGAAGAUGAGAAACAAAGGAUCAUCCGCUGCAUGGUCGGCCUGGAGCUGCCCGUGUGGCAUGAGGAGGUCACCAUGGAGCUCAUACAGAAGUCCCUGCAAGACAGGCUGAAGCACUCUGGGGGCCUGGUUCGAAUGCCGCUGCCUGUGGGUCUUGGUCAAGCAGGUAAUGAUGAAUACAGUAGGACUGUCUUCACCAAGAAGACUACUUGGUCCAAACAGCCUAAAACUCAAUCUUUAGCAAAUAUGUCGUAAUGAUUGACUGUAUAUUCAUUCAGAUUAGACAGCAGAACAGUUCAUUGUGUAUUGUAGAUACUCUAGUACAGUAAUAACCACAGUGCCAAAUUGUAUUGUAGUUGAAGUCAGAGACUCUUAUUGUGAAGAUGAGCUGUAUCUGGGGGAGAACACAGUGUGUGUUAGGCUAGGCUGGUUAGCAGGUUAUUAGCAUACAGUAAUAGACUAGCGAUUAAUUAAUUAUCAAAUUGGUAUUAUCCUUAUCCAGUGUUCUGUUAUAUACUGUAUACACAUGUUAAUGUUCACUCUUUGCUCUCCUUGCUCUCUUCACAGAAAUCUUUAAUACCACAUCUUACGAGAUCCUGCACAGAGCUCAUGAGAAGUGGUGUGGGGAGCUGAGCAUGUCUUCUCACAGCAGCUGUGACCCUUAACUGUAUCAGUUGAACUUUAGAGAAUAUUUUUCAUUUUGAAGGGAAUUGUGUGUUGUAUAUUUUAGUUGUUUAUAAUGUUGGGAAGAAUAGUACUGACUUAUAUUACUGUGUAUUAUGGCAACAAAAUCUAAAUGAUUUGUCUAAAAAUUUCAAUAGGUUGGAAAUUUUUUCAUAUCACAAACAUAUUUACAUACAUUUUUGUUAACAGUUCAAAACAAGUGGUUUUAUAAUUGUCACCAAAUGAUUCAUCAGCUUUCUAACUGUUUGCUACUUGACUGUGAACAUACAGUAUAAGCUUCAAUAAAUGUUUUUGUGUUUAUGAAAGAGUGUGCA
rnacentral:lncRNA from 1 species